GAUGAACGCUGGCGGCGUGCCUAAUACAUGCAAGUCGAGCGAACGGACGAGAAGCUUGCUUCUCUGAUGUUAGCGGCGGACGGGUGAGUAACACGUGGAUAACCUACCUAUAAGACUGGGAUAACUUCGGGAAACCGGAGCUAAUACCGGAUAAUAUUUUGAACCGCAUGGUUCAAUAGUGAAAGACGGUCUUGCUGUCACUUAUAGAUGGAUCCGCGCUGCAUUAGCUAGUUGGUAAGGUAACGGCUUACCAAGGCAACGAUGCAUAGCCGACCUGAGAGGGUGAUCGGCCACACUGGAACUGAGACACGGUCCAGACUCCUACGGGAGGCAGCAGUAGGGAAUCUUCCGCAAAGGGCGAAAGCCUGACGGAGCAACGCCGCGUGAGUGAUGAAGGUCUUCGGAUCGUAAAACUCUGUUAUUAGGGAAGAACAUAUGUGUAAGUAACUGUGCACAUCUUGACGGUACCUAAUCAGAAAGCCACGGCUAACUACGUG
rnacentral:rRNA from 1 species